GGAAGGCUGUAGCUCAGUGGUAGAACAUCUGCUCUGCAUGAAGAAGGUCCCAAGUUCCAACCCUGGUAUCUCUA